CACUAAACAUUAUUACACGUAUUAUCAUUCCCACCACUAGGGGCGCACUUCUGGCUUAAAUCCCUAACAUCUCCCUAACAGCAGCGUGAUCUCCGAAAGCUGCUCGUAAAAACGGGUACGAAAAUCUUGAACACACAAAUUGGUAACAAUACACAGGAAGUGGCGGCGGUUAACCACGCCCCCUGAGUGGACAACAUGGCGGACCAUGUCGGAUUCUUGAGUGAACGUCUCUCCGCCACGUUGGAUUUUUUGAGGGGGUUAGGAUUGACCUCCGUGACAAAUUUGUGAAAAAACGUCUCCGUUCUGUGAGAGAGGGCGAACUAUGGUGACCAAAGAGGAACCGUAUGACUGACAUCGGGGGAAACAUCGACGACUGGACAUGUUUAAGUGAACAGCGGGGAUCUUUCCAGGCGGAUCCCCAGUGAGAUCAGCGUCGGGCCAGAACCGACGUCCCAGCAGGUCGACUCUCCCGUGGACAUGUUCGCGUUCCCGUGCAGCCCCAGGACGGCCGCCAGGCCUUUGCCACGAAUAUGCGCCAGGCGCAAUGUGACCGCGUUUGAAUAUCCUCAUCAAGGACACGAACCCCCGUGUUUCAUUCAUGGAACCAUGAAUCCGCGGCUGAACUUCACACCUUUACCGAACGGUGCGGAGAACCCAACAGCUCCGCCGUGUUCUCCCG
ensembl:lncRNA